rnacentral:rRNA from 1 species
UACGAGGGGGGCAAGCGUUGUUCGGAAUUAUUGGGCGUAAAGGGCGCGUAGGCGGUGCGGUAAGUCUGAUGUGAAAUCUCCGGGCUCAACUCGGAGUCUGCAUCAGAAACUGCCGUGCUCGAGUGUGGGAGAGGUGAGUGGAAUUCCCGGUGUAGCGGUGAAAUGCGUAGAUAUCGGGAAGAACACCCGUGGCGAAGGCGGCACUCUGGGACGGUACUGACGCUGAGACGCGAAAGCGCGGGGAGCGAACAGG